rnacentral:rRNA from 1 species
GACGAACGCUGGCGGCGUGCCUAAUACAUGCAAGUCGAACGCAGUGGUGACGGGUGAGUAACACGUGGGUAACCUCCCAUCAGAGGGGAUCACACUUGGAAACAGGUGCUAAACCGAUACUGCAGGCUGGACCAGCGGGGCCUUAGCUAGGGGGGGGGGUAACUGCUUACCAAGGCCACGAUGCAUAGCAGACCUGAGAGAGUGAUCGGCCACACUGGAACUGAGACACGGCCCAGACUCCUGCGGGAGGCAGCAGUAGGGAAUCUUCGGCAAUGGACGAAAGUCUGACCGAGCAACGCCGCGUGAGUGAAGAAGGUUUUCGGAUCGUAAAACUCUGUUGUUAGGGAAGCGGUAUCUAACCAGAAAGCCACGGCUAACUACGUGCCAGCAGCCGCGGUAAUUC